rnacentral:sRNA from 1 species
GCCAGGUGUGGUGGUGCACACCUGUGAUUCCAGCAGCUCAGGAGGCAGAGGCAGGGGAAUCUCAAGUUCAAAGCCAGCCUCAGCAACUUACCAAGGCUCUAAGCCACUUAGUGAGACUCUGUCCCAA